UUAAGCUAAUAAGAGCGCAGGGUGGAUGCCUUGGCACUAAGAGCCGAAGAAAGACGUGAUAAGCUGCGAAAAGCUGCGGGGAGGAGCAAAUGUCCAUUGAUCCGCAGAUGUCUGAAUGGGGAAACCCGUCUGGAAGAACUCCAGUCACUGCAUGCUGAAUACAUAGGCAUGCAGGGGGAACCCGGUGAACUGAAACAUCUAAGUAGCCGGAGGAAAAGAAAGAAAAAUCGAUUUCCAAAGUAGCGGCGAGCGAAAUGGAAGGAGCCCAAACCGGGAUGCGUGCAUUCCGGGGUUAUGGACCGCAAGAAGUGACCCGUAAGAUAGAAGAAUGGCAUUGGGAAAGCCAGCCACAGAGGGUGAAAGCCCCGUAUUCGAAAUCAGAAGGGAGCGAGCGGAAUCCGAAGUACUACGAGACACGUGGAACCUUGUAGGAAAUCGGGGGGACCACCCCCCAAGGCUAAAUACUCCUUAGUGACCGAUAGCGCAUAGUACUGUGAAGGAACGGUGAAAAGAACCCCGGGAGGGGAGUGAAAGAGAACCUGAAACCCUGUGUUUACAAGCUGUGGAAGAGCUUUACAUGCUCAACCGCGUACUUUUUGUAGAACGGUCCGGCGAGUUACUCUUACUGGCAAGGUUAAGCACCAAAGGUGUGGAGCCGAAGGGAAACCAAGUCUUAACAGGGCGAGUUAGUCAGUGUGAGUAGACCCGAAACCGGGUGACCUACCCAUGUCCAGGAUGAAGUUGCCGUAAAAGGCAAUGGAGGUCCGAACACACAUCCGUUGAAAAGGGUGGUGAUGAGGUGUGGGUAGCGGAGAAAUUCCAAUCGAACCCGGAGAUAGCUGGUUCUCCUCGAAAUAGCUUUAGGGCUAGCCUCAAUUUAGUCUUGCGGAGGUAGAGCACUGAAUAUCCUAGGGGGCGUCAAAGCUUACCGAAGAUUAUCAAACUCCGAAUGCCGUAAAGAUGAUGAUUGGGAGUCAGACUGCACGAGAUAAGUUGGGUAGUCAAAAGGGAAACAGCCCAGACCUCCAGCUAAGGUCCCAAAGUGAGUGUUAAGUGGAAAAGGAUGUGGGAUUUCGAAGACAACUAGGAUGUUGGCUCAGAAGCAGCCAUUCAUUCAAAGAGUGCGUAAUAGCUCACUAGUCGAGAGGUCCUGCGCCGAAAAUGUCCGGGGCUAAACACUACACCGAAGCUGAGGAAUGACAAUGUCAUUGGUAGAGGAGCAUUCUUAACUGCGACGAAGCUGUACCGAAAGGAGCAGUGGAGUGUUAAGAAGAGAGAAUGCCGGAAUGAGUAGCGAGAGUGAGGUGAGAAUCCUCACGGCCGAAUAUCUAAGGUUUCCAGGGUAAAGCUGAUCUGCCCUGGGUAAGUCGGGACCUAAGGCGAGGUCGAAAGACGUAGUCGAUGGACAACAGGUUGAAAUUCCUGUACUGCAAUGUAUCAGAAAUGUGGGGACACAGACAGAGAGCCGGAGCCGGGAAUGGAGAAACCGGUGCAAGCGAGGUAGGAGAACAGCAGGCAAAUCCGCUGUUCAAUCUGAAGACGUGACGCGGAGCGAAAUUAAAGUAGCGAAGCCGGUGAGCUGGCUGUCAGGAAAAGCCGCUAUUGUGUACAUUGUACCCGUACCGUAAACCGACACAGGUGGAUGAGGAGAGAAUCCUAAGGCCGACGGAAGAAGCAUUGUUAAGGAACUCGGCAAAAUGGCCCCGUAACUUCGGGAUAAGGGGUGCCUACGAAGGUAGGCCGCAGAGAAUUGGCCCAAGCAACUGUUUAGCAAAAACACAGGUCUAUGCGAAACCGUAAGGUGAUGUAUAUGGGCUGACGCCUGCCCGGUGCUGGAAGGUUAAGGGGAGAGGUUAGACUUAAGUCGAAGCCUUGAACUUAAGCCCCAGUAAACGGCGGCCGUAACUAUAACGGUCCUAAGGUAGCGAAAUUCCUUGUCGGGUAAGUUCCGACCC
rnacentral:rRNA from 1 species